rnacentral:rRNA from 1 species
ACUCCUGCGGGAGGCAGCAGUGGGGAAUAUUGCACAAUGGGCGCAAGCCUGAUGCAGCCAUGCCGCGUGUAUGAAGAAGGCCUUCGGGUUGUAAAGUACUUUCAGCGGGGAGGAAGGCGAUAAGGUUAAUAACCUUGUUGAUUGACGUUACCCGCAGAAGAAGCACCGGCUAACUCCGUGCCAGCAGCCGCGGUAAUACGGAGGGUGCAAGCGUUAAUCGGAAUUACUGGGCGUAAAGCGCACGCAGGCGGUCUGUCAAGUCGGAUGAGAAAUCCCCGGGCUCAACCUGGGAACUGCAUUCGAAACUGGCAGGCUAGAGUCUUGUAGAGGGGGGUAGAAUUCCAGGUGUAGCGGUGAAAUGCGUAGAGAUCUGGAGGAAUACCGGUGGCGAAGGCGGCCCCCUGGACAAAGACUGACGCUCAGGUGCGAAAGCGUGGGGAGCAAACAGGAUUAGAAACCCCGGUAGUCCC